CCUACGGGGAGGCAGCAGUGGGGAAUAUUGCGCAAUGGGCGAAAGCCUGACGCAGCGACGCCGCGUGAGGGAUGAAGGUCUUCGGAUCGUAAACCUCUGUCAGCAGGGAAGAACGGUCACUGUGCUAAUCAGCAGUGAAUUGACGGUACCUGCAAAGGAAGCACCGGCUAACUCCGUGCCAGCAGCCGCGGUAAUACGGAGGGUGCGAGCGUUAAUCGGAAUUACUGGGCGUAAAGCGCCCGUAGGCGGUAUGUCAAGUCAAGGGUGAAAUCCCCGCGCUCAACGUGGGAACUGCCUUUGAAACUGGCAAACUGGAGUGUGUGAGAGGAUAGUAGAAUUCCAGGUGUAGGAGUGAAAUCCGUAGAUAUCUGGAGGAACAUCAGUGGCGAAGGCGACUAUCAGGAACAUAACUGACGCUGAGGAGCGAAAGCGUGGGUAGCAAACAGGAUUAGAUACCCUAGUAGUC
rnacentral:rRNA from 1 species